AAUCUUCUUCUUAAAAUCUAAAGUGCUAAGUCGGCUGAUUACGAUUGGUUUCGGCCUAAAAAGAUCGUAUUUUGCGGCAUCUUUCACAUCUUUCCUUCAACAAAUUCUAUUUUAUUUGGUUUUUUCGGUUUGUUUUUUUCAAUCUGAAAGCUAAAAAGCACAAAGCAGCAACCAGUAAAUUUCUGCAACAAAUUCCGUCCUUCAAACUCCACUCCCUUUCCACAUUGGAUCCCUAUCUUGCGUCCUUUCAGUUGGUCCAGUAAACUUUUCUUUUUGCAGAAAAAGUACUGACUUUACAAAAAAUACAAUUGACAACUAGCAAGAAACGCAAUUUCCUGGUGAUUUCCUCGUUAAGGUGAUGAGGACACAAAGCCAACCAGUCGGACAAAAUGGUCUACCUCAUAAAUCACGAGAUUGACCGAAAAAACCAAGUUGUACACUUUGUCUCCUCCCCUCUGGCCGUCAUUGCAACUUCCCAGCAACUUCCAGUUAAUGCUUGAAAACUCAAUGCUUGAUAUUUUAUGCAUCUUUCCUUCCGCGGCUGACCCGUGUUUGCUUUGUUUACAACGAUGACAGCGGUAGCCAUGAUGUUAACUUUUCAUCGGUUCAAAAUCAAUAAUUAUAUUUCCAUAUUUGCCCUUGGUUGAAGCUAAAGUUGCUUUAUCGUUCAAAAGAAUGCUCCCUGCCUUUUCAACUCUCAACCACAAAAUGCACUCUUUUUCUGCUUCUCUGUACAUGAAUUGAUUGACUGUGUUAAUAAAAUUUCUAUUCAACCAACUUUGUUCUUUGCCAAUAGUCUUGUUCAGCUUCUCUUGCUCCAAGUCUAAGGCCAAAGGUAUUGUUUUUUCAUUUCUAAAGUAUUA
rnacentral:lncRNA from 1 species